rnacentral:rRNA from 1 species
UACGUAGGGUGCGAGCGUUAAUCGGAAUUAUUGGGCGUAAAGCGCGCGCAGGCGGUCAUUUAAGUUUGGUGUUUAAUUCCAGGGCUCAACCCUGGGUCGCACUGAAAACUGGGUGACUUGAGUACAGAAGAGGAGAGUGGAAUUCCACGUGUAGCGGUGAAAUGCGUAGAUAUGUGGAGGAACACCAGUGGCGAAGGCGACUCUCUGGGCUGUAACUGACGCUGAGGCGCGAAAGCGUGGGUAGCAAACAGG